rnacentral:rRNA from 1 species
UACGGGGGGAGCAAGCGUUGUUCGGAUUUACUGGGCGUAAAGGGCGCGUAGGCGGUCGUGACAAGUCACUUGUGAAAUCUCCGGGCUUAACUCGGAACGGUCAAGUGAUACUGUCGGACUAGAGUACAGAAGGGGCAACUGGAAUUCUCGGUGUAGCGGUGAAAUGCGCAGAUAUCAGGAAGAACACCCGUGGCUAAGGCGGCUCACUGGCCCGAUACUGACGCUGAGGCACGAAAGCGUGGGGAGCAAACAGG